GGCGGAUGUAGCCAAGUGGAUCAAGGCAGUGGGUUGUGAAUCCACCAUGCGCGGGUUCAAUUCCCGUCGUUCAU
rnacentral:tRNA from 1 species